rnacentral:lncRNA from 1 species
CCCAGUUUUAGCUUCCACAGGGUUGGCCUUGCACAGGGGCGAACCUGCACACUGAUGAGCUUGCCUACCACGGGGCUCUUAACAGGGUGCACGGAGAUCACCUGUCAAGUCCUUAAUUCCAUACGCUCCAGGGUCUGAAUUUCAGAGAAGCAAAAUUCAGGAGCCUCUUAGUAAGUCAGGUUCGGAACUUUUGAAAGCAGGGAGUAUGGCUGUGAAAUAAAUUGUCCUGAGACCAAUUCUGAAAUUUAAUAAUGGAGAAAAUAAAGAAAACUAAUGGCAAAAUCUUGAGGAAAAAAUAUUUUUAUUGAGAUGCAAAGGGAAAUUAUACAGCAAAGGAAAUAUGGAUGACCUGAACUAGGAGGAAGGAAAAGCAGCAAAAGAAAUUCAAGAUGUUUUGCCAAAGCUGCCAAUGAAAUGAAGAUGGAGAGGAAGCAGAGCAACACCCCACAUUCUCUGUUUAAAAAAACAAAAAAACUAUCUAGAACAAUAGUUGAAAGAAGAAGGGAUAUUUUGCCUGGAGAAAACCCAUGGUGGGUUGGACUGCACCUUCCAAUCACCAGACAGUUGUCCUGAGGAGGAAAGGGAAAGCUUCUGCUAUGUGAUUACAAUGUAAUGCCCAUGACAGAUAAGAUAACUGGAAUAUAUGAUCUUUGGGGAACUAAACUAUGAAUGUGUGACUUAAAAGACUAAUGGGCUCCCAUCUUCAGUGAAAUCUCAGAAAACUUUCAAAUUAAAAAAAAAUGUUGUGUGUGUUGAGGAUGGUAGAGUGUUGGGUUUACUUUUCAAAUCAAUUAAGGAUUAUUUUGAGAGUGAAAAUCUAUGUGGAGGCAGAAAAUGGCUCUAUGAUGCAGAAAUGAGCUUGGUUUCUGUACCACAGGAAGAUGGACAAGAGAAGUGUCCCGGUGUGUUCUUGAGAACUUCCAUAGACUGAAUUUUACCAGUUCCUGAACAUCAGCCCUUGGCAGGGUUCUACCUGGCUGAAAAACAUGUAUGCUCAGUGCAUUAAGUCAUCAUCUAUUAUCCCUCAUUAUGCUCCAAGUAAAAUGUCUGCUUAUUCAAAAGUAAUUAGGCUCACUAUGCAGAUCGAUUAUCAUUAAACCUGCAUUUGCUAUAACACUGGCUUUGAUACAACACUCAUUACUAGAGAAGCCAUCAGAUCUUUUAAGUUAAUGGAAUGAAGAGGUGAGGAAACUUGUGUUCUCAGGUGCCUGCUCUAGCUUAGGUACUGCAAUUGAUACCAACUCUCAAGAUCUUAGCUAUUGCUGUGUGCACUUUUUCAGCUGAGGAAAUGAAGCAGUGAAAUCACACUUCUAUGACACACAGCUAGUGCAGGCUGGAGCUGCAUCUGGACUCUAGGACAUCCUGACUUGGUAGCCUGCAUUUUUCCCUGAUGCUUAUUGUGAACAUACUGCACUGCAUUGUGAGAAAUACAAACUGCACACUGUGGGGAGAAGGAGAGGAGAAAAUGCAGGUGUGUAAAUAAUGCAACCCCCAACAGGAAGUUUUAAAAUGAGAGAAGAGAACCCAUAGAGUAAUUCAAGGGAAGGAAGUUUUGCUACCAUGAAGGGAAGAUUUCCAAAGGGAAAACGUCUUGAGAGGUUGAAGGUGUUUUGAACAGAAAUGUGACUGAAGAGAAGAAACCUCAGUAACCCCAGACAUUCACCAGAGCCUACGGUCUAGGCUUCUUUCCUCCAGAGGACACCUUGUAUUCAUCAUGUGGCCAUGCGUCCUGGGCCCAAAGGGAACCCUGGCUUAGAACAGGACUCCAGACAACUGAUUUUCCUUGUCUCCUGACUUAGGUAUUAGAACCAGAGUCACAUUUUACAAAUUUGUUAAAAUAUAUAUUACGUAGUAUUGACAUAAACCAUAUGUAAGUAUAAAACACAUACACAAUGAAAAUAUAUGCAAUGAAAUAUAUAAUUAUAUAUAUAGUGACUAGUGAAACAAACACUACUCUCUUUAAAAAAUAAAAUACUAAAAGGUGAAAAAUUAGUAUAAUCUGAAGAGAAACCAGAGUAUAAGAAAUAAAAUAGUAGCGAUGCAGUUAACACCUUAUGUUUCUCUCCCUGAUGGCAUGCCUCCUCUCCUUCACAGAGGAAAAUACUAUCCUGUAUUUGGUGUUGCUAGUUUUCAAAUAUUAACAAUUGCUGUGUAUGUGUUGUAUAUGUAGGAACUGUGUAUAUUUAUUGUUAUUGUAAUUGGGGAGUGAUAUUUUACUGUUAU